UAUAAUCGAUUGCAUUGGUUCCAUUUUUCCCAGCAUACAUUUCGGGGCAAUUUCAUUUGGAGAGUGCGCGUGGGUUUGUCGUGGUGGGAGUUUUUGUAAAAAUUUGCCUACACUGUCCACACAGCAGACGCGUCGGUUUCAGGCAUUACACAAGUCCAAGAUGAUCAUUCCAAUCCGGUGCUUCACGUGUGGGAAGGUGAUAGGGAACAAGUGGGAGUGGUACCUGGGACUUCUACAGGCUGACUACACAGAAGGUGAUGCCCUGGAUGCUCUGGGACUGAAGAGAUACUGCUGUAGGAGGAUGUUGCUUUCACAUGUGGACCUCAUCGAGAAAUUACUCAACUACGCACCACUGGAGAAGGCAUAAGGAGUGCUGCCCAUGUUGCGAUAAACAUAAAUAGAUCAUGUACAUGUAGGUUCCAACUGAAAUGUACAGUAUAGAGUGAUAUAUAGUCGUUAUAAGGCAGCUCAACAUAGAGGCUAUCGAUAGAUUUGUUGUUGUCUGUUGAAGUUCUUUGGAAGAAGAGGACACAAGAAGCCCAGAUGUUUCCACCAGUCUUUGUCAGGAAAUUUGCAUCCAUGUAUUUUGCUUUUCGCCAUGUGCUUGUAGUACUAAGUUGUACAAACAUCAUUUAGUCGUUACGUCUAUCUUUAUGAAGUUCACUCGCAUUUUUAUGGUGAAAAUUUAUUGUUACAGACCAUAACUGGACUUUGCACCACAGGAAUGAUGCCAACUUUUUCUCUGUUGAAUAUUUCGAGUAUAGAUUUGCUACUUUAAUGUAGAUUAUGUGGAUCCCAUGGUAAUAGUUACAGGUACAGGUAGUGCCUAGAAGGCUUUAGUCAUACUUUGUAAAUACAAUAUUAUAGUCAGAGUCUUCAUCAUUCCAUGCUAUGAAUAGGUAAUAAGUGUGAUUGCAUAAGCCACGGCCACCUCAGCUUCUUAUUUCAGUUAUGAUUCUUUAACAUAAACAAGUACAUGUAUCACCAGAUGAAUGAUGCAAAAUGUUUCAUCUCUAGAAUUCAGCAUAUACGUAAACAUACAUGGUACAGCAUUGGUAGGGGUACAAUGAGAUUGCUGAAUUGGUCCAGGUGAUGUUGGUGACCCCAAAAUCUGACCCUUUACAAGGAAAAGACUUGAGUGACCAUCUUUGCAUGAGACAGAGCCUUUUUGAGACAUGCCCCUAGCUCACUUAUAAGAUUUUGCAACAUGACUAUAAAGAUACAUACAU